rnacentral:lncRNA from 1 species
CAGACCUUAAAAGAGCAGAUUACAGGCGUGAGUCACCGAGGCCCGCUGAGAUUUUUCCUUCUAGAGCAAGAAUCCCAAACAGUAAUGCUCCCAAGCACUAGAAGGUAGGAUUAACGAGGGCAGGGUAAACAAAAUGGAUUGGCAGGGACUGUGGGGAACUGGAGAGUGUGGGACCCAACUAAAGAGGGUGCUACUUAGCUCCAGACAAUUGCUGCCUUUCAGAAUCCCAGGCCUGGUACAGUUAGAUGGUCCAGUUUUCUAACAGAAUCCAAAAGUCUGGGUUUUUAGUAAAGUUUACAAUAUUUUAAAAACCAUGCAGGCCAAAUAAAGCAUAUCUGCCAGCUAGAUCUCUGUCCAGUUUGUGGUUUCUUCUUGAGAGCUGUAGGGGAGGAAAGAUUUUUCUCUUUACCUUCCUAGGUUUGAUAGCUGGAUCUAUGAAAUUAACUGACAACAGGGAGAUUAACAGGAAAAAAAGUAUAUAAAUUUAUGAAUUCUUAAUGUAACAUGCAUGAAUGCAUCACAGAAAAAAAAGUGAAUACCUCAGAAAAGCAGUGAGAUUUGAGAGCUUCCAUUCCAUCUUAAUAAGGAAAGUGGGGUGGGAUGCAGGUCACUUAGGAGAGUAGAAGAUUUUUAGGAAAGAUGAAUGAGCCCAUAGAAAAUAAGAUGGGAAAUAUGCUAGGUUGUGACAAAGUUUGUUUGAGAGUGGUGUCAACUUCUAGUCUCUCUGUGAUGAGUUCAUCUUCCCUGGUUGAUGAAACUCCCAGGGAUGGGACUGAUGACAAUUUAGUUUCUUUUGCAGGAUCUGUCCUUAGGCAGGUAAGGGAAGUUCAGAGAGGGCCUCUCUCUGCACUGCUGUUUUUUUAAGUGCCUUCAACUCAAAAUAAUCAGUGUAUCAAACUGGCAAAUUUUGGGGGUAGCAAGAACCGAACCCCUUCAGAGCUUUGCUGUGAUGUGACUCAGCUUCCUUCUCUGUGGCUCAGUUCUGAGGCGAGAGGUCCUGAUUGGCCCAGCUAGGGCCGGUGGGGUCAGCUAGGGCCAGCUAGGGCUAGCUAGGGCCAGGGAGGGAUGACUCAGCGAAAAUGUGGCUACUGAGUGGGCAGAGUGACAGAGUGGUUCCUAAAGAAGAGGGUCUGAAACUGCAGGAUCCUGUGGAGGGAGUGAGGGGUCAAGGUAAAGCUGUUUAUCACUUUUCCGUGUCAAUGGGAAUCAUAUCACCCAGUGGGAAGCAACUUGCAGCUUAUGGAAAAGAAAGAAUGAAAUGAAAUAGGCCUAAACUGAAACACAAGGAAUUUAAAUCAGACAUUUGGUCUUCCAAAGGGAGCUGUAAAGCUCUGAGAAUUUACCACAGGGUCUCAGGUCCUAUCAGAUUGAGUCAAAACAUAUCUGUCUUGCCUGAUCUCUGGGAAGACCUUGUCAAGCAUCAUCUGUCAUUGUCUCCACUCCCUCUCUCAAGCCCCUAAAUCCCAGUUCACAUGCAACACAUUCACUGCCUUCCCCGAGAGGAGCAUGGGCCAUUUCUUAUCUCACCAGCUUGCAGAGCAAAGUGUGAUUUGAGCACUGGGGCCCAGUCACACCUCCCCUCCCCUUACCUUCCCAUUGAGCCACUGAAAGUACCAGCAAAUCCUUUGAUGUUGCUGAUUCUGUAUUUAAGGUGAUGUCUUCAUUUGGGAAAAAUAAUUUCACUCUGAUGGGCUGAUACCGAUGGGAAACUGGCAUUGUCGAUUGUUAUUAAGUUAGAGGAUACAUGGAGGGUGAUGAUAAAUUCCAUGCAUUGAGUUAUUAAGAACAGGUUUGUACCCCUACUCAUUUGCUUUAACAUGCCUCCUUCACCCCCAUCUAUUAACUUGUGCCUAUUUGAAGGCUACAUAUGCAAAUAGAGGCAGAGCUAUCAGUGGAGGUGGGGGCGGUGGAUGGGGGGACACAGCUGCUUUGGGGGAAUAAACUAAAUCACAUCCACUGAACUAUUUUGCUGUUUAAAUCCAUUCUAAAGAUAUCCUAGGAGCAAUGAGUGCUCUCAAACAACCCAGCUAGGGCUCCAGAACAUUCAUUCUGAUGGUAGUUCUGUCCAAAACUUGAAGGACAACAGCUGCAGAAGGAAAUUAUAGCAUCAGAAAUUUCCCAGCUGCUCAACUCCCUGUGGACCUGCUUCUGAUAACUUUUCUUUCUUUUAUUAUUUUUAUAAUUAAUUCAUAUAAUGCUUUAAAGUCAACACAGUUGACAGGGUGUCUUCUGACCUUUCAUUCAUUGGAAUAAGUUUAUGGAAUGCCUGUCAUGUGCCAUGAACCAUUCUAAAAGUGGAGACUUUCAUGGCCAACAAAACAGACAAGGGUCCUGCUUUUGUGGCUCUCACACUGUGAUGGCAAGAAGGAAAGGAAGAAAAACAAGUCAAGAAAUAAAUGAGCAAGAUAAUCAACUGUAGCCGCAAAAGACAUGAUGCCCUUCCUCACCCAUCGUAAGGGUCAUGGCCUACACUCCUAUAGCAAAGGACAGGUUAACAAGAGAAAAACAUAACGCAUUUGUUUAAUCAAAGUUUUAUGUGAUAUAGGAG